CCAUUGUGUCGUUACUGCGAAUCAGUUGUUUGGUAUCUGGAUUACAAAGGAAGUCUCCAGCACAGGGUAUUCACAAGAGAACAGAACACUGAGAACAAGAUUCUGAGCUACAAUGCUGGAGAACAAAGUAAAGCCGCAAACAAGAUAUAGUAACUCCAACUUGACAGACAUCUUGCAGCUAUAUUGCAGAUGUACGAAAACAAGUCAGUGAUGGAGUUUCUGCGUGACAUUUCCUACAAUUUAACUUUGUGAAACUUCAGGAGACAACCUCGAGGAUAAAUCAGGAG
rnacentral:sRNA from 1 species